UUUCCGUAGGUGAACCUGCGGAAGGAUCAUUACCUAGAGUUGCGGGCUUUGCCUGCCAUCUCUUACCCAUGUCUUUUGAGUACCUUACGUUUCCUCGGCGGGUCCGCCCGCCGAUUGGACAAAACUUAAACCCUUUGUAGUUGCAAUCAGCGUCUGAAAAAACUUAAUAGUUACAACUUUCAACAACGGAUCUCUUGGUUCUGGCAUCGAUGAAGAACGCAGC
rnacentral:misc_RNA from 1 species